rnacentral:lncRNA from 1 species
ACCCUACUCUAAUAAGGUCUUGAUAUUCUGAGCUCAUAGGUGGGAGAAAGAUAAUACAUACUUACAAGACAUUUAGUGCAUAGUCAAACUAUGGAUCCAGAGAAACAAGUCAAUAAGUCAAAUCAAGAUGUGCAUGUGUGGCGAAUGAAUGGUGUAUGGUGAUGAUGGUAAUAACAAUGGUGAAAGUCUAAUUCUAUUUUUGCUCUUUUAAGGGGAUACAUACCUUUCUUGCACUUUGAAGCUUUUUAGGGAGAAUGAGAUGCUCUAUAUUUUCUUUUUCUUUUCUCUCAGGUGGGUAUCAUGUACCCCUAAUUCUACUCUCGGACACUUGUCCAUUUUUACCUCUCGUCUCACUUUUCUUUUCUUUGAGGUUCCGGGCACUUGCCCCUUUUUAUUUCCUCGUUUUUUUAGAGCACUCAUCUCCUAAAAUAAUAUAGCAAGUGGUAGUAACCAAGAUAACUCGAGCAUUUAUUCCACAAGGAAUAACAGGGAUAGGAUAAUGUUUUUGGCUAUUCUCUCAGAGAUAGGAGUAGAAUAAUUUUGGGUGAAUGUGGAGAUGGAAAUGAGUGGAUGUAUGUGGACGUGUACUUCCGGAGUAGAAGCAGCAUGUAUGAGUGAACGUGCAAGUAAAUCUUGAUUUUAACCGCAUGACAAGCUCCUAAAGGUCUAAACAGCUUGACCACACUCAAUGCUCAUAAGUAAUAAAAAGUAAAUGUGUGGCUCAAAGUCUAGCAAGCAUGUAUAUAUGGCUGUGGUAGGAAUUUAAACUCUCAUCAUAUAGAAACUCAUCAUGUGUUAUUUUAAAGAUUUUCAAAGAUAAAAUUCUCUAGAAUUCUAGCAUCUCUAGGAACAGAUAAACAGCAGCUCCACCUUCCCAUAUCAUAUCUGUUAACGACUUAGACUUUAGAUCAAGUACUCUUCCCACAAGUUCAGGUUGAGAGGAUGUUUAAAUUAUAACUUAUGCCUAAACUUGAGAGACAGCUCAAACUUGAAAAACUAGGUAUAUGGCAGAGCAACUAUAUAUCAUAUCCAUGUAAGAGUUUAUCAUUUAAGUUCAGUUUGGCCUAGACACUUUAUUUAUUUAUCUAGAAAACUAAGCAAAUAUAUAUAUAUAUAUAUAUAUAUAUAUAUAUAUAUAUAUAUAUAUAUAUAUAUAUAUAUAUAUAUAUAUAUAUAUAUAUAUCUGUCUAUAUAUAUAUAUAUAUAUAUAUAUAUAUAUAUAUAUAUAUAUAUAUAUAUAUAUAUAUAUAUAUAUAUAUAUAUAUAUAUAUAUAUAUAUAUAUAUAUAUAUAUAAGCACAAAAAAAAUCUUUAUUUGGGUUUUCAUGAUUAUGCAUCUUUUUAUUAUUUGAGUAAAGUAUAAACGUGAGUAGAAACACUUAGCUGGAUAAAUGGGGUGCUCUCCCCCAAGCUGGAUUUUGACGUAAUUUCUUCUAAUAUAGCUAGCAGGUGGUGGAGGUGUAUUUGAAAGUCGACAGCACCCUGACAGUGAUUAGGAUGUCCUCCGUCUGCUAGUCUUCUUUGAUCCUUGAAUUCAGUGGAGCUCAAAUAGACAACAAAGCUUUGUGGAAAAUUGUUAAGUGUUAGCAUAAAAUCUCUUUGCCUUUAUCAUAUUGAGCUUCCUCCUAAUAAAUUUUAUUUAGCAAGAUCAUGCACUUAUUAUUUUUAUAUUUUUAUUGUAAGAUGAAAACAUAUUUAUUUUAUGCCACCACAGUGAGUGUAUCUAUGGGGUUUAUGCCAUGAGCAUACUCACAUGGAGCUUAGUAUUUUUAACAUUUUUAUUUUCUUUUCGAGAUGAUAUGAACCUGAUUAACUAAGCAAACUAUUUUAAAUAGUUGAAAGGAAAAAGGAUAACUACCAAGUUUACCCCUUGCCAAGGCGUUCGGUGUUUUUAAGUCCUCCGAACGGGACUCUUCGUUUUCUCAGUCAUCCUGGGAUUCGCUGGAUGGCGUAGUCGGUGGUUUCGGCGGCGCCUCCUCUUCAUGUAUAGCUAUCUUCUCUCUCCAAACCUAAUUCGGUGCUACGGUCUCCUCAGGACAGUUCUGUUCAGGCUAUAUGUCUUCAGACCUCACCACUUCUCCUUUGUAGUCUACCCAUCCGUCCUUGAUGAUUUGCCUCCUCUGGUUUCGGUUGCGUCGCCUUCUUCAGAGGGAAGUGCAUGUGGACUUCUCCGGUUCCAAUAUAGAUGAUGGCUUUGAUAGUGUUGAGGAACGGUCUUCCAAGGAUGGUGGGUGGAACAUAGUCGUCUUCUCCCAUGUCAAUGACCUGAAAAUCAUCUGGAGCUGAAUAUAUAUUGGUUGUAGGGGCAUGGUUCCAUGUAGGAGCUGAUAAGUGACUGCGGCCAUUAUGUUGUCGUCAGAUCCGGUGUUGUAGAGUGUCUUCUAAAAAGAGUAUCCAUUGAUUGUGCACUCGAUGCUUGGAACACCAGGGUCAUCCUUCUUGAUCAGGAACGGCGACUUGAGUCAACGAUCUUGACCUCCUCCGACAAAGAUCUAAUGUUUUAAGUCUUCUGGACAAGACUUCUCACCGUCUUCAUCCUUUAGGUGCAUCAUUUGAUUAGGUUUGGACCAUGACGUCUGCACCUCUUGAUACGGAGUCACCCAUGUUCUUUGUUUGCCCAGCAGUUCGAAGUGCGGUGUUGGCAAUAUCCUGCUCAGUGUGUUUGUGCUCGUAGAUCCAGGUCCUUUACUUGGUGGAGUCUGGGAGUUGCAAAACUCCUCCAUGUUUUGCUUGAAGUGUACCUGUUCAUAGAGACAAGGCAGAGAUCAAGUGCAUGGGCCCUGUUGGUGGAAAACACCAACAGAACCAAAAGUGUAUUUGUUCUUCCCUAACCUUAAGCAUAGUGAGCAAGACAAAGUUGAUGGAUCUUGAGUGUAGCAUUUGUCAGAUCAGAUGGCUCAACCUAAUGGAAAGAUAAUCUAUCUAUAUUUAUGUUCUAUUUAUAUCUUCCAAAGAUUGAAUGUGCAAUACUUUUGCUUAUAUGAUUAGGAGUGUGGGAUCACGAAGGUAGUACUAAGAACAAAGAUUAAAGGACUAAACAUGCUGAAUUAAUUGGGUUGGUUAAUUUGGAGUUACAAAUCAUGUUUGUCUCUUUAUCUUAUGUGAACGCCGCAACCAAGGAGAAGCUUAUAAAAGCGAUAGUCAAGUACCUUAAGAUGUUACCUUAAUUGAAGAGUGAUGGUAUAGUAUCACCUUGUAGAAGCUUUCCAUUCUUAGCGGUUGUGCAUCGUGUUUGUGGCACCCUCCAUAGAUCAUCUCUUUAUGAUGAAUGAGCUAUGUCCUUCUUAUGCAAAUUGUUAAACUUCAUGUGUCUCCUUUAUCUCCAAAGUGAGUUUAUAUCUCAGGACUUCCCAAGUUGAUAUUGAAAGUUUUCCUGCAGGGGUUAGUCCUAACAAAAUAUCCCAUAUCUACUAUAGCAUACUAUCGGCUCAAAAAUCAACCUAGACACCUUGUCUAAUUUAAUUUAGGAGGGCAUUUUAACCUAAGCACCAUGCUUAAUUUAAAAAUCCUUUGGAAGUAAGAUCAUCAUUCCGAAACUAAGUACCAUGCUUAAUUAAGAGAUAAAUGAAACUACUCCAAACCUAGACAUAUACUACAGCAAAUAAAGGUAGCAUGAGAGCAUUUAUAGAGAUCUACUCAAGUGGAGAUGAAGUAGUGUGAUUAGUAUUCAACAAAUUGAGCAUGUCUCAAAGGUAGGGACAACUAACAUAGCAACAUGGCAAAGGAUGUUUUUAUGUAAAGUACUCCCCCAAGCUUGAAUUUUGCAAAAUUCAAGUUUGGAUGAAUUUAAUUCAAUGUUGUAUGAUGGUUGGUUGGACAUACCUUGUGUUUGUCAUUCAUCCGAUCUUCUUGCUCCCAUCCUGGAAAGGUUAGUGACAAGAAUACCUGAAGGAAUAUUUCUACAAUUAUCUUUAUAUGCUCAAUACACAAGGCAAUGUUGCAAAUAAUUAGAAGUUCAUGUUACGAUCCGAUCAUUGCUUGUUUUAGGACACUAAGCUUGUCCUUGGGAAACCAUCAAUUUAUGUCCGUGAAGUGGUUUCCCCUCCGACGCUGACCUAUAUCAAGAUCAACUCAACGAGAUCUGCAAUAUUUAUUACAGACAUAUGCAUCAACAACCGCCCUUUUAAUGUUUUUAUAAAUUUGAAGGAAGAGGGGGUUGGAGAUCUCAAAUGUGGUGAUGUUGGAGAGACCAAUUGAUUGGGGAGAUGUUUUAUAUGAGCAAGGACUUGGUGAGGUAUUUCCAUGCUCACUGUUGUUUCUCUCAUUCUCAAACUCCAAGGAUGAUUCUUCAUGAAUGCUUAAAAUUUCUCUAGGAUUGUCUCUCAAGUUUGUUUUAUCCAUCCAUUUAAUGGUGAUAGCACAUGGAUUUUUAAUGCCCUCUAGCCAUUAAUGUUGCUCUUCUCGAUCCUUCUUGUGUUCUUGGUGACUCUUAUGCAUGGGAUGUCUAGAGAGAUUCAUAGGAUCAUCGGGAGGUUCAAGAGAAAGAGCAUAGUAAAAAUUAUUAGGCUCAAGGAUGGGUUGGAUAGCCGAAUCAUGGGAUUGGAAUGUUUGGAAAUCGGCUAUUGAAACUUCCUUUCCUUGUCUGGGAGAUGAUUCCUUCUCUAUCUCUAGGAUUUUUCUAUGAAGACUAGUACAAGAUGUGGGCUGCAAAGGUAACUCAGAAAUGUCAUGUUCCCCGCUACUACCACGGUCCAGCUAGUCAGGGGAUAUCUAUGAGUACCCUAGCCCAAACACCACGUUUACGCUAGCAAUGAUUACUCUAAACUCAACUGGAAGAGAUUAAAGUAAACUCAUAAACCAAAGAAAAAUAAAACAAGAACUUACUAGAAUUUAGAAGUCGAAUUACUGAAGAAUCCUAGGAGCAAGCCUCGGGUUAGGAGAACUUGAUCCCGUAGGUACAACCUCAGAGUAGACACCGACAGGUCGGGCUUCCUCCGAUCUACACCUCCACUCUAUCUCUCUCAAUCUAGUAGAUCUAGUCUACUCUCACAUUGGAUGCUAAGACCUAAGUCCAUUUAGAGGAGAGGUAUUCCUUCGAGGGCUCCUCUCAACUCUAUGAUGAACUUGUUCUCCUCUAGGGGCCAAGGGGUCUGGUUAUAUAGUCCUUCCAAGUGAAUAUGGGCCGUCGGAUCAAACCGACAUUGAUUGAACGGUUAUCCUUGAUCCUUUAGGUCGGUAGAGUGUAAUCCCCAAAGAGAGUCCUGAUUGGACUCCAGGUCACGGCGGGCGCCCUAGGGGGGAGGGCGGGCGCCCUGCCCCCAGGCCCGUUCGCCUUCCCGUUCGUUCCCGUGGCUUUUGGAGUCUUCUAGAUGACAGAAAAUUGUGUGGCACGUUAAUAUCUCUAUGUAAACCCGACGUGUGGGCCUUUCUUCCGUAUUUCCUGAUAACCCCCUGCAGAAAUAGACAAACACCAAAACUCGUGGAAUUCUGUCAGAUAAAACCCUAAGUCUCGGUGUUGGUUGCAUUUGGAUCCUUUUCUUUAUUUAUUUGAUGAUUAUAUUUGGUACUUAAGGACCGUCAACAGCUGUCACUACCAUGAACUACCCCGCGAUCUGGCAUAUAGGGUACAAUCGCAGAUAAAUACGGUAUAAGCACCAUGCCUACACAAUAUCUAUCAUUUACCCAUGGAUCCGAUGGAUAAACACUAUAUGAUCCUAAACAUGUAUAUAAAUCCAAUCUAACUAAGCCAAGUAUAUAACUAUGAGAAACUAAGAAUAAUAUAAUUGCGAAUAUGAACAAGUAGAGCAAAGUCAUAAGCAAUAUAUUGAAGUAGAACAAAGUCAUAUUAAUAAUAUCGAAGAACAAAGAUGGACAAUUGAAGAACAAUAGAGAAUUACCAAGAAUCCUCCCGAUAGAUCCAGAAACCAAUCGAAGAUUGACUCCUUCUAGUUCUAAUCCUAUGUAGCUAUGCUAAUCUAGAUAUCUAAUUGAUGUUGUGGCUCUAGGCUUGAUUAGAGGCUUCUUCUCCCUUGAUGAAUAAUGAAUUAGGGUCUGGUUUUAUAGUCCUUCCAAGUGAAUAUGGGCUGUCGGAUCAAACCGACAUUGAUUGAAUGGUUAUCCUUGAUCCUUUAGGUCGGUGGAGCUUGAUCUCGAAAGAGAGUCCUCAUUGAACUCUAAAGGGGGGCAGGCGCCCUAGGCCAGGCUCCGUUCUGCCUCCGCUUCGUUCCCAUGGCUUUUGGAGUCUUCUUGAUGUAAGAUAAUUGCGCGGCACGUUAAUAUCUCUAUGUAAUCCCGACGUGUGGGCCUUUCUUCCAUAUUUCCUGAUAACCCCCUAUAGAAAUAGACAAACACCAAAACUCAUGGAAUUCUAUCAGAUAAAACCCUAAGUCUUGAUGUUGAUUUCAUUUGGAUCAUUUUCUUUGUUUAUUUGAUAAUUAAAUUUGAUACUUAAGGACCGUCAACAAAUAGCUCACUUUGAAGGUCCUUCCCUUUUGUGAACUUUGCUAACCCCUUGGUUAGAUGUUCCUUCUCUUUCUUGAGCUUGCUAUUCUCUUGAGUUAGCUUCUUGAUGAUUGGGUCAUUGUUGCUUGCUAACUCUUCUAAGAUGAAUGACUCAUCUUCUUCUUGCUUGUCAUACAUCAAACCAAGCUUGAGAUAUUGGUUUUCUUCUUUGAGUAACUUGUUCUCAUAUGCAAGCUUCUCGUCUUGAUCAAGUGACACAAUUACUAUUGUGUUGUGCUUGGCUUGCUCUUGCAAAUCUUUCUUGAGCUUAACAUUUUCUUCCUUGAGCUUGAUAGUGUCCUCAUAGCUCUCGUCCACUACCACUUUCUUGCCCUUGCAACCAACACAUUUGCUUGUGGUCUCCACAAGUAAGUCAUCACAAGAUGUGGCUACAUCAAGCUUAGCAACAUGGUUAGUAGCAACAUGUGUUUCUUUUAUUGCAAGAUGAUAAGCUAUCUCAAGGUUGUCAUAGUUGGCUUUUAGAGUUGUUAGCUCAUCCUUCAAAGCUCUAUUUCUAGUGAUAAUCUCAUCAUGAACACUUUCAAGUUUAUAAUGUUUUUCUUUGAGCUCUUUUAAAGAGAGUUUGAGCUCCUUGAGCAUAGUGGUCAUGAUCUCAUUUUGAUCUCUGUUGGGUAUUUUAAACGCAAACAGAAAAAUCUGCAAGCGCGCGGAUACCGAUGUAGCUUUCACCUGGGAGUAUUCCACAGUAUCGGUUUUCCACAGGGAACAUGAGUGUACUAAUUAAGAUUCAAGAUCGCCCAAGAGAUGAAGUUUCCUGAGAGUUCUCUAGUUGAUCUAAGAAUCAAGAAUUACUUCAAAGAUUAUUUAUUUCGGGACAUCAGAACACUAACCACAGAAAGAGAUGAGAAGGGGGCUAGGAAGCUCUGACUACGGUCCUACAAACACUAAUCCGAACGAGGUGGAAUACGUCGACCGUUAGGGCUAUCACUACCCUAGGGUUACCACAACAAUCCAUAGGAUUGGGUGCAAUUCCAGGUAAUUUCAAGACUAAACACCACGUCUAAUCUAUUAAUUACUACUCUAGCGUUGCAAUGACUAGAGCACUUGAUGCAAGCGGGAAUCCAAUAAAUAUCUUGAAUGUAAAUAAAAGUAAUUAAAGAACUCAGGAAUUAUGAAUUGAAGAACUUGGAGAACGAUGAAGAACGAACCAGUAGCUGCAAAAGUACAAUGUUGAGGAAGAUCCGAUAGAUCCGGCUCCUCCUCCACUCCCCUCUUCUCUCUCCCUAUUUUCUAUAUUACAACUAGAACUAACUAGAACUAGAACUAAUUGAACUAGAACUAGAACUAGAUGAACUAGAACUAGAACUAGAUGAACUAGAGGGAUCAUCUCUACUUGGAUGAAUAAUUGAAACCCUAGCUUUGAUUCUAUAGAAGAGAUAUGCCUCUAGGGGCCAGGGGGCCUGGUUAUAUAUCCCUCCAAAUGAAUAUGGGCCAUCGGAUCAAACCGACAUUAAUCGCAUGGUUAUUCUUGAAGAUUAGAGGCGGUGGAGCAUGAUCUGCGAGACCUACCCUGAUUGGUCACUAGGGCAGGGCGGGCGCCCAAGGGGGAGGGCGGGCGACCAGCCCUCGGGCCUGCUCGGCCUCCCGUUCAUUCCCGUGGCUUCUGGAGUCUUCUAGAUGAUAGAAAAUUGGCGCACACGUUAAUUUCUCUAUGUAAACCCGACGUGUGGGCCUUCCCCCUGUAGAAAUAGACAAACACCAAAACUCGUGGAAUUCCGUCAGAUGAAACCCUAAUUUUGGAUGUUGGUUUCAUAUAGGUCCUUUUCCAUGAUUAGUUGACGGUUAAAUGUGAGCAUUAAGGACCGUCAACAAACUCCCCCAAGCUUACCUCUUGCUCGUCCCUGAGCAAGGAUGGACUCAAGAGUUUCUGUAGUGGUUUCAUGCCUUAAAGGUACACAUGCGUUCAAACAAGAUCUCAUCUCUGGGUCAGGGUAAACUAUUAAGAUUUAAACUUACUCAUUUUACCUUCCACCAUGGGGCUUGCAACCAUCACUUGUGUCUUGAGCAGUUAAAAGAUAUAACGGUCUAGUCGAGCGCCAUGUCUCUUGUUCUUCAAUUAAUUAUAGCUCUGAAGUUUUUGCAGAUUUUCAAAUAAAACUCAGAGAUUCCUUAUAUGACUCUCUCUAGUCUCUCUGUUGUGGUAUUUCUGGAUCCUUACAAAGGCAGUAAUGGUGUAUGCCUUCUCUCAAAGUAUGUGGUAUUUUUUGUAUGAGGCAUAGUGGCACUGCCUUCUCUCUCACCCUACACUAAUAAGGUUUUGAUAUCUGGAGCUCAUAGGUGGGAGACAGCUAAUACAUACUUACAAGACAUUUAUUGCAUAGUCAAACCAUGGAUCCAGAAGAAUAAGUCAAUAAGUCAAAUCAAGAUGUGCAUGUGUGGCGAAUGAAUGGUGAUAAUGGUGAAAAUAAUGGUGAAAGUCUAAUUCUACUUUUGCUCUUUUGAGGGGGUACAUACCUUCCUUGCACUUGAGGCUUCUGAGGGGAAUGAGAUGCUUUAUAUUUUAUUUUUCUUUUCUCUCAGGUGGGUAUUGUACCCCUAAUUCUACUAUGGGACACUUGUCCAUUUUUAUCUCUCGUCUCACUUUUUCUUCUUUUUUUUCCUGAGGUUUCGGGCACUUGCCCCUUUUUGUUUCCUCAUAUUCACUUUUUUUAGAGCACUCACCCUCCUAGAAUAAUGUAGCAAGUGGUAGUAACCAAAAUAUCUUGAGCAUUUAUUUCACGGGGAAUAACAGGGAUAGGAUUAUGUUGGUUGAAUCUAGAUAUGGAAAUGAGUGGAUGUAUGUGGACGCGUACUUUCAGAGUAGAAGCAGCAUGUAUGAGUGAACGUGCAAGUGAAUCUUGACUUUAACCGCAUGACAAGCUCCUAAGGGUCUACACAGCUUGACCACACUUAAUGCUCAUAAACAGUAAAAAGUAAAUGUAUGGUUCAUAGUCUAAUAAGCAUGUAUGUAUGGUUGUGGUAGAAUUUUAAACUCUCAUCAUACAGGAACUCAUCAUGCAACAUUUUAAAGAUUUUCAAAGAUAAAAUUCUCUAGAAUUCUAGCAUCUCUAGGAACAGAUAAACAAUAGCUCAACCUUCCCAUAUUGUAUCCGUUAAUGACUUAGACUUUAGAUCAAGUACUCUUCCCACAAGUUCAGGUUUAGAGCAAACAUUAAUUAAUAACAGUUAUGCCUAAACUUGAGAGAGAUUUCAAUUUUGAGAACUAGUCAUGGCAGAGCAACUAUUCAUCAUUUCCAUGUGAGAGCUUAUCAUGAGGGUUCAUAGCAAACUUUAUUUAUUUAUUUAUUUAGCAAACUAAGCAAAGAUAUAUAUAAGCACAAAAUCUUUAUUUGGGUUUUUAUGAUUAUGCAUCUUUUUAUUAUUUGAGUAAAGUAUAAACAUGAGUAGAACACUUAGCUGGAUAAAUGGGGGUGCUCUCCCCCAAGUUGGAUUUUGACGUAAUUUCUUCUAAUGUAGCUAGCAGGUGGCGGAGGUGUAUUUGAAUGUCGGCAGCACCCUGAAAGCGAUUAGGAUGUCCUCCGUCUCCUAGUCUUCUUUGAUCCUUGAAUUAUGUGGAGCUCAAAUAGACAACAAAGCUUUGUGGAACUGGUUAAGCGUUAGCAUAAAAUCUCUUAGCCGUUAUCAUGUUGAACUUCCUCUAAUAAAUAUUACUCUCUUUGAUAGGAUCAUAAAUUUAUUUUUAUAUUUUCAUUUUUUAUAGAACAGGAAUAUAUAUUUAUUUUAUUUUUACGCCACCACAGUGAAUGUACUUAUGGGUUUUAUGCCAUGAGCAUACUCACAUGGGGCUUACCUUUUUUAAACAGUUUUAUUUUCUUUUCAAGAUAGCAUGAUUAACUAACAAGCCAUUUAAUUAAAGUAAAUAAAUUAAGGGAAAAGGGAAUGCAAAAAGGAUAAAUAUGUAUAACUACCGAUUUUACCUUUUGGCGAGGGUUCAAUGGUUUAAGUCUUCUGAACAAGACUUCUCACCGUGUUCAUUCUCUAGGUGCGUCAUUUGAUUCAGGCGUGGACCUUGACGUCUGUACCUCUUGAUACGGUGUCACCCAUGUUCUUCGUUUGCCCAGCACUUCGAAGUGCGGCGUUGGCAGCAUCCUACUCAGUAUGUUUGUGCUCGUAGAUCCAGGUCCUUCACUUGGUGGAGUCUGGGAGUUGUAAAACUCCUCCAUGUUUUGCUCGGAGUGUACCUUAAGCAAAGUGAGCAAGACAAAGUUGAUGGAUAAGAUCAUGAGUGUAGCAUUUAAAACAUUUGUCAGAUCAGAUCGCUCAACCUAAUGGAAAGAUAACCUAUCUACAUUUAUGUUGUGUUUAUAUAUAUAUAUAUCUUCCAAAGAUUGAGUGUGCAACAUUUUAGCUCAUAUGAUUAGGAGUGUGGGAUCACAACGGUGGAAGGACUAAACAUGUUGAAUCGUUUGGGUUGGAUAAUCUAGAGUUUGUAAAUCAUACAUGUUUGUCUGUUUUAUUCAUGUGAACGCCAGAACCAAGG